UUUUAAGAUUGUCAGGAUCUUCAGAAGGGUCAGUCUCUUCAGGAAGCCAUCUAGAGGGGAAGAGAUUAAAAGGAGGCAGAAAUACAGGCUAAAGGAAUCAAGCCAGGAACCCAAGAUUUUAUCUGGUAAGAGCUGGAUGGUGGGGAAGCCCUCAAGACUAUUCACUCUUUAUUUCUAAUCAAGAUUUAUGAGAACAGCACACCAGAACCUGGAGCAAUGAACACAGAACUGCUGAAACAGCUCAAAACAUGCAUUUGAGGAGAAGAACAGACGACACACCUACUAUGGGUGCAAAGGAUUACCAGGCUGUGUUCAGACCAGACUUCAGCAAUCCUCAAGAAACCCAGAGAAGCCCUGGACUGCCUUUAGUCCACUUUUAAAUUCUUUCCUGGGCUAAUCAGUAACCAACAGAGGAAAACAAAAGGGAGGAGGUGGGGAAGGUGGCCAGCAGAAAACCAGCAAUGACAUUAUGGUCAAAAGGAAAACUCAUGAGAAAGACCAAAUUACGGAUGCUGCAGAGAAAAGGGGUUAUCAGUCCUCAAGAACUGACCUGGGCACGAGGACGACUACACACCAGAUCACUAAUAUCUCUAAGGAACUCAAUAAUAAACUGUUAGAAUAUGGCUUUAUGGUUUAUAAAUUCUUCAAAAUACAUUUAUUCUUUUGAUCCUUGCAGCAACACUGUAAAAUAUUAUCAUCUCAGCUUUUGUAGAUGGUGACAUGAGACGCAGCAAAGUUAAGGGAUUUAACUUACCCAAGACUAAAUGCUGUUACGUAGCAGAGCUAGGUCUUAAAUCCAAAUCUUUUCAU